ACCAAGGAGAGUUUGAUUCUGGCUCAGGAUGAACGCUAGCGGCAGGCUUAACACAUGCAAGUCGAGGGGUAGAGUGGCUUCGGCCAUUUGAGACCGGCAAACGGGUGCGGAACACGUACACAACCUGCCUCUGUCUUGGGGAUAGCCCAUAGAAAUGUGGAUU
rnacentral:ncRNA from 1 species